rnacentral:rRNA from 1 species
UACAGAGGGUGCAAGCGUUGUUCGGAAUUAUUGGGCGUAAAGCGCGUGUAGGCGGCUUUGCAAGUCGGGUGUGAAAUCCCUCAGCUUAACUGAGGAAGUGCGCCCGAAACUGCCGAGCUUGAAUACCGGAGAGGAUGGCGGAAUUCCCCAAGUAGAGGUGAAAUUCGUAGAUAUGGGGAGGAACGCCGGUGGCGAAGGCGGCCAUCUGGACGGCUAUUGACGCUGAGACGCGAAAGCAUGGGGAGCAAACAGG